GCCAAGAUCGCGCUACUGCACUCCAGCCUGGUGACAGAGGAAGACUCCGUUUCAGAAAAAAAAAAAAAAGAUAAUUACAAGGUACAGCUCCUUAUGCAUAGUAAACAUAAAAAAAUCUUAGCCUGUUUUAUGAUUUUCACAAGGAAAUUGAGGCUCUAAGAGAAUAAGUAGUUUAUUAAAGGCAGCAAGUGUCAACACCAAGAUCUGAGGGCAGCUCUAAGUCCAAAGUCUGUGUUCUUUCCAGGAGACGAUUUGAGUAAGUAACCUUGACCCCUGUUAUUCUAAACACUGAAAAGCUUGUCUACUUGCCCUUGUCGGACACAAGUUGGCUAAAUAGAUUGUGGUCUUUCAGCUACCAUAUUCACUACAGUUAUCAGUUGCCUUGUUUUCCCUAAGGGUGGCUACUUAUACCUUACAAAAUCAUCCAUCUGAACUCCAGGACUUUUCAGUAGCAGCUGGAUAAGGAAUGAGCCAUGGAGAUAAAUACACAAGGAUAAGAACUGGCUGCCCUCACAUGAAAUCCAACAUCUUUAUAAAAGUAAUAUGAACAUGCUGAAAAAAUAAGGGCUUUUCUGCUUAUAAGAAGAUACAUUACAUUCGAAAUAAAGAUUUUCUGCUUAUUACUAUUUUAAUGCAUUAAUUAAAGGCAGGUCAUUAUUGAACACAUUAUCAUUAGUUAUUUAUUUCAAAGAUGCAUAUCGGUGGGCAGGUUUUGUGGUCCACAGUAAGGUUCUCUCAAAUUUGAACUUGAGGUUAGAUGCUAUUUUCCCAAUAAAAUUAAAAUGAAGAGUUUGUCAUAAAUAAGCCCAGUCAUCUGGAGAAGGAAUUACCCACCCUAAUUGAUCAAUGUAGUCACUGGAAAGUGUUGCUUAUUAUUUAAGAAAAAUUAGGUCAGGCACAGUGGCUCUUUCCUGUAAUCCCAGCACUUGGGUAGGCUGAGGCGGGAGAAUCACUUGAGCUCAGGAGUUUGAAGCCAGACUGGGCAACAUGGCAAGAUCCCGUCUCUACAAAAAAAUGCAAAAAUUAGCCAGGCUUGGUGGCACAUACCUGUGGUCCCAGCUACUUGGGAGGCUGAGGUGGAAGGAUAGCUUGAGCCUAGGAGAUCAAGGCUGCGGUGAGCCAUGCUUGCACCACUGCACUCCAGCCUUGGCAACAGAGUGAGAUCUUCUCUCAAAAAAAAAAAAAAAAAAAAAAAAAAAAGGGAAAUUAUAGCUAUCUUAUCUAGUUUGCAGAAUAAUAAUAUUAGGAGAUGAAGACUUAGAGUAAUUUAGAUAUUAGCCACCAUGCUAGAUUCAUUCACGUAUCUUUGUUAAUUAAAUUUCCCCAACAAUUUGAGAAGCGUCUUACUCUCACAGUAAAAUGGUAUACCGUAUUGUAUAACAUAUAUAGGUGAGACAAUCAAAGUGCAAGGAGGCUAUGUCAUUUGCCCAGGAGCACAGUGAUGAAAUUUGAAUUGAAGUCUGACACCAAAUCCCAUAUCCUCUCAAUAGAAAAGUAAGAAUUCGAAAGUUUCCAAUGCUACCCAGAGAAGAGUAUGCCUAUGAGAACUUCUCUACAGCAGCUCUCUCAUCGCCCUCAACAGAUUUCAGUUCUGGUGACAAAGAAAUUCCAAUUUCUCAUUGUCUGUGUCAGUCUCUGUAAGGUAUGUCUAGUUAAUCACUGUAAAGUCAGAUAAACAGAAUGUUCCAGAAACACUUAUGCUCUCAACAAUUCCAUCAAGAGUUCAACCCAUAUGUAUCAAGUUCCUAUACGCCCAGACACUACACUAAGUGCUAUGGGUAGUUUAGACUCAAAUAAUUCAUCUUUGAUGAAUGCAAAGAUAAAUUAGAGUCCUUCUCUGUCCUUAAGUUUAGCACAGAAGCUCACAACUUCUCAUCACAAGAUCCAAAAUCAACUGAAGAAUCCAGGGAGGUGAGUUUUGUGUGGAACAGAACAGAGGGGCCUCUGGUUCAAUAGCCCUAACAUGAUCUAAGGCUAUCACAGGGAGCAAAUGUAAAACCCUGUGUGAAGGGAAGGGAAAUGUCACCUUGUUACUGUAAGUGAAGGCAGGAGUCUGGGUUCCACACUCAGUCUCUGUUGAUACCCCACAGCAGGAGGGCCCCUCAUUACUCCUGCAGGAAGCAGCAGGAGAUUCUGCCCUUCCCACUGGGCUUCUGCCUAUGCCAGCCUGGGAGUGUGAUGCUCCUCAGGCCCUGAGGUCAUCGGCCAGCGCUUGGCUUUCUUCUGCCUUCCAGGGGAUUCUUCUGUUUGCUUUAUGUAUAACGUCCAGGGUUUUUAGUUGACUUAGCAGAAGAAUAGAGAAAAGUACUUCUACUGCAUCUCCCAGAAACCACUUGUCAAUCCAAAGCCAGCUUGCCUUGCGGGGGCUGCACAUGGCAAGGGUUGAAGGCUGUGUUCAGCGUGUGUCACCUGCAGUGAAGACAGCCCCAUGGGUGCUUCCUGCCCCUCCUGCAUCUUGGCCUCACAGCAAAACCAUGUCCCAUCAUAACUAGCCAGUUCCUGGAAAGGCAGACAGGCUGGGACUUAGAUGAGAAAACAGUCAUUCAUCUCUGGAUUUAAUUCUGUCGUCUCCAGCUACAAGAAUAACAAGCCAUAUGCUGUACUGUAUUCCUGGCUAAUACCCAGCAAGGAGGAAAUGAGCAUGCUUAUGAAUUAUCCUGCUGAUGUUCUCCAGUUUGCAAAUCCAAGUGUUAUUUUAAGUACUAUCUCUGCCAAAAUAAUCGUUUCCCACCACGGAUGCUUCAAUUUGAAAAUAACCUUAGAAAUUGUCUUCUUUAUAUUACAUGUUCAUCUUUACAUUUUAAAUCUAUUUUUAACCCACAAGGGUUAAUUUUGCAAUAGCCACUGACUUACAAGAAUCAAUGCGGUAUUGGCUGGCUAAAAAAUUGCCCUUGCCUGCUAGUAUGCAGUGAAAAACAGAAAAGCAGUUAUUACCAAGGUCUACUUAAAUAGUCAAUUAAAAAUAUGUCUGGGCCUGGUGGCUUAUCCUGUAAUCCUAGCACUUUCGGAGGCUGAGGCGGGUAGAUCACGAGGUCAGGAGCUGGAGACCAUCCUGGCCAAUAUGGUGAACCCUCAUCUCUACUAAAAAUACAAUAACUAGCCAGCCAUGGUGGUGUGUGCCUGUAGUCCCAGCUACUCAGCAGGCUGAGGCAGGGGAAUCGCUUGAACCCGGGAGGCAGGGAUUGUAGGGAGCUGAGAUCCUGCCACUGCACUCCAGCCUGGCAACAGAG
rnacentral:lncRNA from 1 species